rnacentral:rRNA from 1 species
CCUACGGGAGGCUGCAGUGGGGAAUAUUGGACAAUGGGCGAAAGCCUGAUCCAGCCAUGCCGCGUGUGUGAAGAAGGCCUUCGGGUUGUAAAGCACUUUCAGUGGGGAAGAAAGCCUUGGGGCUAAUACCCUCGAGGAAGGACAUCACCCACAGAAGAAGCACCGGCUAACUCCGUGCCAGCAGCCGCGGUAAUACGGAGGGUGCGAGCGUUAAUCGGAAUUACUGGGCGUAAAGCGCGCGUAGGCGGUCUGAUAAGCCGGUUGUGAAAGCCCCGGGCUCAACCUGGGAACGGCAUCCGGAACUGUCAGGCUAGAGUGCAGGAGAGGAAGGUAGAAUUCCCGGUGUAGCGGUGAAAUGCGUAGAGAUCGGGAGGAAUACCAGUGGCGAAGGCGGCCUUCUGGACUGACACUGACGCUGAGGUGCGAAAGCGUGGGUAGCAAACAGGAUUAGAUACCCUAUAGUC